ACUGCUGAUGAGAAGCUCCUCUCUAUACCGAGGAGGACUAGUCGAGGUUUCAGACUGGGAACUUGUAUCCUCGUAUGUAUCUUCUUUAGCAUAGUGAGGUUUUUUCCGGCUGGGCGGCUCGACUCCGUCCAGCUUAUUAUUGUUCUCCUCUUCUAUCUCAAUGAACGAUUGAGCUCGUUGGAAGAGGUCGGGGAGGGUCUCCAC
rnacentral:lncRNA from 1 species